rnacentral:rRNA from 1 species
UGCAGGGGGGGCAAGCGUUGUUCGGAAUUACUGGGCGUAAAGGGUCUGUAGGUGGCCAACUAAGUCAGACGUGAAAUCCCUCAGCUUAACUGGGGAACUGCGUCUGAUACUGGAUGGCUUGAGUGUGGGAGAGGAAUGCGGAAUUCCAGGUGUAGCGGUGAAAUGCGUAGAUAUCUGGAGGAACACCGGUGGCGAAGGCGGCAUUCUGGACCAUAACUGACACUGAGAGACGAAAGCCAGGGGAGCAAACGGG